rnacentral:rRNA from 1 species
CAGUAGCCACGGUAAUACGUAGGUGGCAAGCGUUGUCCGGAAUUAUUGGGCGUAAAGGGCUCGCAGGCGGUUUCUUAAGUCUGAUGUGAAAGCCCCCGGCUCAACCGGGGAGGGUCAUUGGAAACUGGGAAACUUGAGUGCAGAAGAGGAGAGUGGAAUUCCACGUGUAGCGGUGAAAUGCGUAGAGAUGUGGAGGAACACCAGUGGCGAAGGCGACUCUCUGGUCUGUAACCGACGCUGAGGAGCGAAAGCGUGGGGAGCGAACAGGAUUAGAUACCCGAGUAGUCCCUGUCUCUUAUAC